UCUUCUAUGAUGCUGAAAUUCAGCUGGAAAAAGGCAAUUCAGAUAACCAAAAAGAUGGCUUUCUACUAAAUCCAGAUCCGAAGCUGAAAUCGGCAAUUUUGGAUGGACUUGCUGAAGAAAUUAUCAAAUUCAAAGUUUACCUCUCUGAUGCAGAAUUUGGCGAAGUUGCUGAAGCUCUUAUAAAACGGCAUCCUUGCCUUAAGGAAUGGGGAUCAAUAACAGGCUGCAGUGGUUGGAAAAGAAGCCUUAAAUAUGAAAUGGCAAAUUACAGAACCAAGUUGCGUAAUCUUGGUUGUAGUGAAGUGACCAUUAAUUCCAUGAAGCACAAACCUACUGGUAUAACCAAUCCGGCCUUUGGUGUUAAAAAACCACGCAAGGCUGAAGUUAACUUUUGUCCAUCAUUUCCUCCAGGUGGAACGGCUGACAGAGCAAAUCAGAUGCUCCCUUCUUUCUGAGGUUAAGAAGAAAAACAACGAGCAAACUGUGAGGAGAUUAAUGAAUCUUUCUUUUGCGUUCAGGAGAGAAGAGGUGGUCAAAGGAUCUCCACUUAUUGCUGACUUUAAGAGCAGAUGGCCAGCUUUGUUCCAAGAAAGUGAGUAUGACUGCAUUCAUGUUAAGAGGGAGUUCAUCAUGAAAGCCUGAUUGUCUAUCUAAAUGAGGAUCCUGACAACCUCAUCAAGGAGUACAUGGAUGUAGAUUUUUCUAACGCCCAGGCUGCAAUUGAAGAAAUGGUGACAGGCAUUGUUGUCAUCAGGCGUGAAGUUGGUGCUAAACCUGCUGACGUUGGAGUAAUUCUCGAAGGGGUUGAAGCUUUUCAAGAGCUUGGUAAUGUAGCUAAUGGUGUUGCGUUGCUAAUUGGGCUAAUAUAUGCCCUAAAUCUAAGUUAUCCGAAGGUGCUUCGACACACCUUUGAACUCCUGCAAAAAGUGUUCAUGGAGCUUGAUGGACACACACUCUCAUCCCAACUUCAAACACUUAAGACCAAGCUGUUUACACUUGAUUAAAGAAUUUUCAUGUUCAAAAAACACAGAUAUGUUCUUGAUUUAUUCUUCUGUUUAUUGUUGUUUUAAAUGUUUUAGGACUUUAAGGUAUACACACCUUUUUAAGACUCUUUAAUACUAUGAAGAGUGGUGUAAAUGCACUUUAAAAUAAUAGUUUGCCUGAAAAGUCAUUAACUCACCUCUGUGUUUUUCAAUUCCUUGAUGGCUUUAAUUGAUCUGUAGAAACACUAAUAUUUAAACAAAACAAAACAACCUCUUAAGAUGUAACUAAUG